UUUCAACGACAGGGGAGCGCAGAUUGCGCUGAGAGUGCGGACAGAUCCGCAGACCCUCGAACCUGAUCCGGUUAGCACCGGCGAAGGGAGUCGAGCUUCUCGAGGU
rnacentral:ncRNA from 2 species